UGGCGGGACGGGGUGGAGUAAUGUCUGGGAAACUGCCCGAUGGAGGGGGGUAACUACUGGAAACGGUAGCUAAUACCGCAUAACGUCGCAAGACCAAAGAAGGGGGGCUUAGGGCCUCUUGCCAUCGGAUGUGCCCAGAUGGGAUUAGCUAGUAGGUGGGGUAAUGGCUCACCUAGGCGACGAUCCCUAGCUGGUCUGAGAGGAUGACCAGCCACACUGGAACUGAGACACGGUCCAG
rnacentral:rRNA from 1 species